AGAGAUCUGGAGGAAUACCGGUGGCGAAGGCGGCCCCCUGGACGAAGACUGACGCUCAGGUGCGAAAGCGUGGGGAGCAAACAGGAUUAGAUACCCUGGUAGUCCACGCCGUAAACGAUGUCGACUUGGAGGUUGUGCCCUUGAGGCGUGGCUUCCGGAGCUAACGCGUUAAGUCGACCGCCUGGGGAGUACGGCCGCAAGGUUAAAACUCAAAUGAAUUGACGGGGGCCCGCACAAGCGGUGGAGCAUGUGGUUUAAUUCGAUGCAACGCGAAGAACCUUACCUGGUCUUGACAUCCACAGAACUUUCCAGAGAUGGAUUGGUGCCUUCGGGAACUGUGAGACAGGUGCUGCAUGGCUGUCGUCAGCUCGUGUUGUGAAAUGUUGGGUUAAGUCCCGCAACGAGCGCAACCCUUAUCCUUUGUUGCCAGCGGUCCGGCCG
rnacentral:rRNA from 1 species